AAUUUAAGCAUAUCAAUAAGCGGAGGAAAAGAAACUAACAAGGAUUCCCUUAGUAGCGGCGAGCGAAGCGGGAAAAGCCCAGAACCGAAUCCCAACGGCCUUGUGCUGUUGGGAAAUGUGGUGUUUGGUAUACUCCUUACGGUGCAUUGGAGUCGUUCUAAGUCCACGUGAUUGUGGCUUAAAAGCCCAGAGAGGGUGUAAGGCCCGUGAGAACGAUACAGUGUAUUCACUGGAGUGUUCCUAGAGUCGGAUUGUUUGGGAAUGCAGUCCAAAGAGGGUGGUAAGCUCCAUCCAAGGCUAAAUACAACACGAGUCCGAUAGCGAACAAGUACCAUGAGGGAAAGUUGAAAAGAACUUUGAAGAGAGAGUUCAAUAGUGCGUGAAACCGCUCAGAGGUAAACAGGCAGAGCCGAAGAAGGGGUGUGCAUUUGUCUUCCGCGAUAACUCAUGCUGAUGUUUAAGGAGAUUCGUAAGAACUCCCACGUUGGUGUGUAGUGUCGUGUUGGGCUAUUGUGCAUUUCCGACACCACGAUCAGUGCCUAGAUUGGCCAUGUCAUAUGGGGAAAGUUAACUAGCUCUUUUUGAGUUAGAAUUUAUAGACCCUAUGUACAGCGACAGUUGAACACUGAGAAAUGCGAUGCAGGACAAUGUGGUGCACAUGUUAGUGCUGGUUGCUGGUGCUCGGCAUUGACUCAUUAGAGAUGGUGUCGGGUUGUCGGUGGUCGGUAUUGGCCUCUGUGUGCUACAGUAAUGAAUCCGUGGUGAUCAUGUAAGCAAUCUGCCUGACCCGUCUUGAAACACGGACCAAGGAGUUUAGCAUGUGCGCGAGUCAUGGGGUCGUACGAAACCUAAAGGCGAAGUGAAAGUAAAGGCUUACAUUUUAGUGAGCUGAGGUAGGAUCUCGGUUUCUAUGUACAUUUUGUACAAGUACUGAGCGCACUACCAGCUCGUCCAAUGCUUUAUUAAGCCGGGCGACGCAAGAGCGCACACGCUGAGACCCGAAAGAUGGUGAACUAUGCUUGUGUAGGCUGAAGCCAGAGGAAACUCUGGUGGAGGGCCGUAGCGAUUCUGACGUGCAAAUCGAUCGUCAAACAUGAGUAUAGGGGCGAAAGACUAAUCGAACCAUCUAGUAGCUGGUUCCCUCCGAAGUUUCCCUCAGGAUAGCUGGCACUCGAGAAAGAAACAGUUUUAUCCGGUAAAGCGAAUGAUUAGAAGUAUUGGGGAAAAACAUUCCUCAACUUAUUCUCAAACUUUAAAUGGGUGAGAAGCUGAACUCUCUUAAAUUGGAGUUGGGCAUUGAAUGUGAGUGCCUAGUGGGCCAUUUUUGGUAAGCAGAACUGGCGCUGUGGGAUGAACCAAACGUUUGGUUAAGGAGCCUAACACGACGCUCAUCAGAUACCACAAAAGGUGUUGGUUGAUAUAGACAGCAGGACGGUGGCCAUGGAAGUUGGAAUCCGCUAAGGAGUGUGUAACAACUCACCUGCCGAAUCAACUAGCCCUGAAAAUGGAUGGCGCUGGAGCGUUGGUCCUAUACCAGACCGAUACCGCAAGUCGCAUAAUUUGGAAGCAGUAUCGAGUAGGAGGGCGCUGUGGUGAGCAUUGAAGCUUCGGUCGUGAGACUGGGUGGAGCCGCCACGGGUGCAGAUCUUGGUGGUAGUAGCAAAUAUUCAAGUGAGAACCUUGAAGACUGACGUGGAGAAGGGUU
rnacentral:rRNA from 1 species